UUUUUUUUUCUAGGGUUUGGUUUUUAACUUGUUGUUCUGUUUUUUUUUUCUUUUCAGGUUUUGGAUUAUUUCAAGUAUUGGAUGAUGCUUUGAUCGAUCAGUGAUGGCUUUCAUGGAUAUCUUAAUGGAUCAUGUGAUGGCUUUGACUGAUCCUUGUCACUCUCAUUCAAUUUUGCUCUUCAGGGUAUUGGAUGAUGCUUUGAUCGAUCAGUGAUGGCUUUGAUUGACACUCUUCUUCUGUGUGCUACGUCUUAAUGGAUCGUGUGAUAGCUUUGACUGAUCCUUGUCACUCUCAUUCAAUGUUUCUCUUCAGGGUACUGGUUGAUGCUUUGAUCGAUCAGUCAUGGCUUUGAUGGACUCCUUCUUCUCUGUGACACGUCUUGAUCGAGAAGGCACCUGGAUUACUGACUGCGUGGGAGGUUCAAAUAGAAAACAUCAUGUUCUUGUCGUGUACACACACAUUCAGAUGAGAGAUGCUCCACAAAUUCUUUCCUUUAUUGAUUUAAUUGUUGCACAUGUGACAAGAGGUGGAAGACGAGUGAGUGGAAAUUUCAAAUUUAUGACACUGUGGUGGGUGAUGUCAUACCUGUCAACAUUGGCAAUCAGAUUCUGGUUGAUGAUGAUCCCAUUAUGAUGAUUCGCUCUCACAGGUUUUGGAUUAUGCGUUUAUCAAUCAAUCUGUGAUGGCUUUGAUGGACACGCAUGAACUAGUAUAUGGUUUUGGAUGAUGGCUUUGAUAGUCAAGCUUCUUCUCUGUGC